ACGAACGCUGGCGGCGUGCUUAACACAUGCAAGUCGAACGGAGCUUUGAAUUAAGUUUACUUGAUGAUAAGCUUAGUGGCGGACGGGUGAGUAACGCGUGGAUAACCUGCCCAAGAGAUCGGGAUAACGCCGGGAAACUGGUGCUAAUACCGGAUACGUUCUCGAGGCUACCUAGCCUUGGGAAGAAAGGAGAAAUCCGCUCAUGGAUGGAUCCGCGUCCCAUUAGCUAGUUGGUGGGGUAAAGGCCUACCAAGGCGACGAUGGGUAGCCGGCCUGAGAGGGUGGCCGGCCACACUGGGACUGAGACACGGCCCAGACUCCUACGGGAGGCAGCAGUGGGGAAUCUUCCGCAAUGGGCGAAAGCCUGACGGAGCAACGCCGCGUGAGUGACGAAGGCCUUUGGGUCGUAAAACUCUGUCUUCAGGGAAGAAAAAAAUGACGGUACCUGAGGAGGAAGCCCCGGCUAACUACGU
rnacentral:rRNA from 1 species